rnacentral:rRNA from 1 species
UACAGGGGGGGCAAGCGUUGUUCGGAAUUACUGGGCGUAAAGGGCUCGUAGGUGGCCAACUAAGUCAGACGUGAAAUCCCUCAGCUUAACUGGGGAACUGCGUCCGAUACUGGAUGGCUUGAGUUUGGGAGAGGGAUGCGGAAUUCCAGGUGUAGCGGUGAAAUGCGUAGAUAUCUGGAGGAACACCGGUGGCGAAGGCGGCAUCCUGGACCGACAUUGACGCUGAGGAGCGAAAGCUAGGGGAGCAAACGGG